rnacentral:rRNA from 2 species
UACGUAGGGGGCUAGCGUUGUCCGGAAUCAUUGGGCGUAAAGCGCGUGUAGGCGGCCCGGUAAGUCCGCUGUGAAAGUCGGGGGCUCAACCCUCGAAAGCCGGUGGAUACUGUCGGGCUAGAGUACGGAAGAGGCGAGUGGAAUUCCUGGUGUAGCGGUGAAAUGCGCAGAUAUCAGGAGGAACACCCAUUGCGAAGGCAGCUCGCUGGGACGUUACUGACGCUGAGACGCGAAAGCGUGGGGAGCAAACAGG